rnacentral:rRNA from 1 species
GAUGAACGCUGGCGGCGUGCCUAAUACAUGCAAGUCGAGCGAACAGAUAAGGAGCUUGCUCCUUUGACGUUAGCGGCGGACGGGUGAGUAACACGUGGAUAACCUACCAAUAAGACUGGGAUAACUUCGGGAAACCGGAGCUAAUACCGGAUAACAUAUUGAACCGCAUGGUUCAAUAGUGAAAGGCGGCUUUGCUGUCACUUAUAGAUGGAUCCGCGCCGUAUUAGCUAGUUGGUAAGGUAACGGCUUACCAAGGCAACGAUACGUAGCCGACCUGAGAGGGUGAUCGGCCACACUGGAACUGAGACACGGUCCAGACUCCUACGGGAGGCAGCAGUAGGGAAUCUUCCGCAAUGGGCGAAAGCCUGACGGAGCAACGCCGCGUGAGUGAUGAAGGUCUUCGGAUCGUAAAACUCUGUUAUCAGGGAAGAACAAAUGUGUAAGUAACUGUGCACAUCUUGACGGUACCUGAUCAGAAAGCCACGGCUAACUACGU